GGAAAUAGCUCAGUGGUAGAGCACAUGCUUAGCAUACAUGAGGUCCUGGGUUCAAUCCCCAGCACCUCCA
rnacentral:tRNA from 1 species